UACGGGGGGGGCAAGCGUUGUUCGGAAUUACUGGGCGUAAAGGGUUCGUAGGUGGCUCGCUAAGUCAGACGUGAAAUCCCUCAGCUUAACUGGGGAACUGCGUCUGAGACUGGCAAGCUUGAGUGCAGGAGAGGAACGCGGAAUUCCAGGUGUAGCGGUGAAAUGCGUAGAUAUCUGGAAGAACACCAGUGGCGAAGGCGGUCAACUGGCCCAUAACUGACGCUCAGGCACGAAAGCGUGGGUAGCGAACAGG
rnacentral:rRNA from 1 species